GUGAGGAAUAUUGCGCAAUGGAGGCAACUCUGACGCAGCCAUGCCGCGUGCAGGAAGAAGGCGCUACGCGUUGUAAACUGCUUUUAACCGGGAAGAAACCCCAGGACGUGUCCUGGGUUGACGGUACCGGAGGAAUAAGCACCGGCUAACUUCGUGCCAGCAGCCGCGGUAAUACGAAGGGUGCAAGCGUUAUCCGGAUGCAUUGGGUUUAAAGGGUGCGUAGGCGGAGCGUUAAGUCAGUGGUGAAAUCCUGCAGCUUAACUGUAGACUUGCCAUUGAUACUGGCGCUCUUGAGUGCGCUUGAAGUGGGCGGAAUGUGCCGUGUAGCGGUGAAAUGCUUAGAUAUGGCACAGAACACCAAUUGCGAAGGCAGCUCACUAAGGCGAUACUGACGCUGAGGCACGAAAGCGUGGGGAUCGAACAGGAUUAGAUACCCUUGUAGUCC
rnacentral:rRNA from 1 species